UCACCACUCUCAUCAGCCAUCACAGCCCAGGAAGCAAGAGAGAGAAAAUAAGAGUUAUUUACCUUUUGCUAAUUGGGAGCUGGGCAGCUCAGGUAUUUCAUUCAUCACCGGAUCGUAUAGAAAGCCUGAGCUGAAUAAAACCUUCUGAAAGAAGAUGAGGAGACACACUCUGCCUUGUAGAUUAUUUUACAGCUGCUGAAGCCAUUUGUUUCCUCUGCCUGUUUUCCACAAAAUUGGAAAAUUAACCAUGUACCAGGAGGUGUGACUUCCACUUUGUGCCAAAUAGCAUGGAAAUAAAUUCAUUAUUAAGGGAGAC